rnacentral:rRNA from 1 species
GACGAACGCUGGCGGCGUGCUUAACACAUGCAAGUCGAACGAAGUGGCGAACGGGUGAGUAACGCGUAAUCAACCUGCCCUUCAGAGGGGGACAACAGUUGGAAACGACUGCUAAUACCGCAUACUGAAGGAGGGGAUUGCGGCUGAUUAGCUAGUGGGAGGGGUAACGGCCCACCAAGGCGAUGAAAAGUAGCAGGUCUGGGAGGAUGAGCGGCCACACUGGGACUGAGACACGGCCCAGACUCCUACGGGAGGCCGCAGUGGGGAAUCUUCCGGAAUGGACGAAAGACUGACGGAGCAACGCCGCGUGGGUGAUGACGGCCUUCGGGUUGUAAAGCUCUGUUAAUCGGGACGCGGUACCGGAAUAGAAAGCCACGGCUGACUACGUGCCAGCAGCCGCGGUAAUAC